CCCGACCACCAAGACUCACCCUUUACUCAGUGGGAAAUGAGGUCGGCGGAGCAGGGUGCGAGCAGAGGCAGGGCUGACAUGAUCUGCUGACCGUUUGAGAGGAGCAAAGAGUGACAGCUUAGGAUGUGGCCCUGCAAGAACAGUAUUGCUGUUAACUGGGGGACAUGGAGGAGUAACUGGCUUGGGGAGAAUACUGGGAGCUCGGUGCUGGACAUGGUCUCCUAAGAGUCCCGCGUCCGUGGAGCGUGGUCCACUAAGGGGAUGAGGGCACUGGCUUUGAGAUGAUUUAAUAGAUGCAGCUUCCCGCAGAGCAGCCCCUGCCACCGACUGGAGCACUGUCCCCGCUGCCUGUUCCCUUAUCAGUCCUGUGGUUUCCUGCCCGGCUGCAGCUUCACUUCAUGAUCAAGCGCCCUCGACCCUCCUUCCUGUGGCUUCAGCCCCUGCUGGAGCCAGGGUGAUGAAGGCUGCUGGCAGGCCCUGCCCUUCCCC